rnacentral:rRNA from 1 species
GGGUUGUGAGGUUAAGCGACUAAGCGUACACGGUGGAUGCCCUGGCAGUCAGAGGCGAUGAAGGACGUGCUAAUCUGCGAUAAGCGUCGGUAAGGUGAUAUGAACCGUUAUAACCGGCGAUUUCCGAAUGGGGAAACCCAGUGUGAUUCGUCACACUAUCAUUACGUGAAUACAUAGCGUAAUGAAGCGAACCGGGGGAACUGAAACAUCUAAGUACCCCGAGGAAAAGAAAUCAACCGAGAUUCCCCCAGUAGCGGCGAGCGAACGGGGAGCAGCCCAGAGUCUGAAUCAGCUUGUGUGUUAGUGGAACGGUCUGGAAAGUCCGACGGUACAGGGUGAUAGUCCCGUACACCAAAAUGCACAGGUUGUGAACUCGAAGAGUAGGGCGGGACACGUGGUAUCCUGUCUGAAUAUGGGGGGACCAUCCUCCAAGGCUAAAUACUCCUGACUGACCGAUAGUGAACCAGUACCGUGAGGGAAAGGCGAAAAGAACCCCGGCGAGGGGAGUGAAAAAGAACCUGAAACCGUGUACGUACAAGCAGUGGGANNNNNNNNNNNNNNNNNNNNNNNNNCCUUUUGUAUAAUGGGUCAGCGACUUAUAUUCUGUAGCAAGGUUAACCGUAUAGGGGAGCCGAAGGGAAACCGAGUCUUAACUGGGCGUUAAGUUGCAGGGUAUAGACCCGAAACCCGGUGAUCUAGCCAUGGGCAGGUUGAAGGUUGGGUAACACUAACUGGAGGACCGAACCGACUAAUGUUGAAAAAUUAGCGGAUGACUUGUGGCUGGGGGUGAAAGGCCAAUCAAACCGGGAGAUAGCUGGUUCUCCCCGAAAGCUAUUUAGGUAGCGCCUCGUGAACUCAUCUUCGGGGGUAGAGCACUGUUUCGGCUAGGGGGUCAUCCCGACUUACCAACCCGAUGCAAACUGCGAAUACCGAAGAAUGUUAUCACGGGAGACACACGGCGGGUGCUAACGUCCGUCGUGAAGAGGGAAACAACCCAGACCGCCAGCUAAGGUCCCAAAGUCAUGGUUAAGUGGGAAACGAUGUGGGAAGGCACAGACAGCCAGGAUGUUGGCUUAGAAGCAGCCAUCAUUUAAAGAAAGCGUAAUAGCUCACUGGUCGAGUCGGCCUGCGCGGAAGAUGUAACGGGGCUAAACCAUGCACCGAAGCUGCGGCAGCGACACUAUGUGUUGUUGGGUAGGGGAGCGUUCUGUAAGCCGUUGAAGGUGUAUCGUGAGGUAUGCUGGAGGUAUCAGAAGUGCGAAUGCUGACAUAAGUAACGAUAAUGCGGGUGAAAAACCCGCACGCCGGAAGACCAAGGGUUCCUGUCCAACGUUAAUCGGGGCAGGGUGAGUCGACCCCUAAGGCGAGGCCGAAAGGCGUAGUCGAUGGGAAACAGGUUAAUAUUCCUGUACUUGGUGUUACUGCGAAGGGGGGACGGAGAAGGCUAUGUUAGCCGGGCGACGGUUGUCCCGGUUUAAGCAUGUAGGCGGAGGUUCCAGGUAAAUCCGGUACCUUUUUAACGCUGAGGUGUGAUGACGAGGCACUACGGUGCUGAAGUAACAAAUGCCCUGCUUCCAGGAAAAGCCUCUAAGCAUCAGGUAACAUCAAAUCGUACCCCAAACCGACACAGGUGGUCAGGUAGAGAAUACCAAGGCGCUUGAGAGAACUCGGGUGAAGGAACUAGGCAAAAUGGUGCCGUAACUUCGGGAGAAGGCACGCUGAUAUGUAGGUGAAGUGAUUUACUCAUGGAGCUGAAAUCAGUCGAAGAUACCAGCUGGCUGCAACUGUUUAUUAAAAACACAGCACUGUGCAAACACGAAAGUGGACGUAUACGGUGUGACGCCUGCCCGGUGCCGGAAGGUUAAUUGAUGGGGUUAUCCGUAAGGAGAAGCUCUUGAUCGAAGCCCCGGUAAACGGCGGCCGUAACUAUAACGGUCCUAAGGUAGCGAAAUUCCUUGUCGGGUAAGUUCCGACCUGCACGAAUGGCGUAAUGAUGGCCAGGCUGUCUCCACCCGAGACUCAGUGAAAUUGAACUCGCUGUGAAGAUGCAGUGUACCCGCGGCAAGACGGAAAGACCCCGUGAACCUUUACUAUAGCUUGACACUGAACACUGGUCCUUGAUGUGUAGGAUAGGUGGGAGGCUUUGAAGUGUGGACGCCAGUCUGCAUGGAGCCAUCCUUGAAAUACCACCCUUUAAUGGCUGGUGUUCUAACGUGGACCCGUUACCCGGGUUGCGGACAGUGUCUGGUGGGUAGUUUGACUGGGGCGGUCUCCUCCUAAAGAGUAACGGAGGAGCACGAAGGUUAGCUAAUCCUGGUCGGACAUCAGGAGGUUAGUGCAAAGGCAUAAGCUAGCUUGACUGCGAGAGUGACGGCUCGAGCAGGUGCGAAAGCAGGUCUUAGUGAUCCGGUGGUUCUGAAUGGAAGGGCCAUCGCUCAACGGAUAAAAGGUACUCCGGGGAUAACAGGCUGAUACCGCCCAAGAGUUCAUAUCGACGGCGGUGUUUGGCACCUCGAUGUCGGCUCAUCACAUCCUGGGGCUGAAGUAGGUCCCAAGGGUAUGGCUGUUCGCCAUUUAAAGUGGUACGCGAGCUGGGUUUAGAACGUCGUGAGACAGUUCGGUCCCUAUCUGCCGUGGGCGCUGGAGAAUUGAGGGGGGCUGCUCCUAGUACGAGAGGACCGGAGUGGACGCAUCACUGGUGUUCGGGUUGUCAUGCCAAUGGCAUUGCCCGGUAGCUAAAUGCGGAAGAGAUAAGUGCUGAAAGCAUCUAAGCACGAAACUUGCCCCGAGAUGAGUUCUCCCUGAGACUUUAAGUCUCCUGAAGGAACGUUAAAGACGAUGACGUUGAUAGGUCGGGUGUGUAAGUGUAGCGAUACAUUGAGCUAACCGAUACUAAUGAACCGUGAGGCUUAACCUUACAACGCCGAAG